AAACAAUGAUAAUGAAAUAUUUUUAAUCGUUCUAAAUUUAUGCUACAGUUAUGGUCGUAAAAGAUUAAAAAAAAUCUUAUGGGUGCAAUUAUUCCACUGACACCUGCGAAAUUACCAAAAGAACUGACCAUCGCUGUUUAUUGUAUUUUUUUAAAUGUUCUAGUUAAACAAUCUAACACUUAA